rnacentral:rRNA from 1 species
UGAACCAGCCAUGCCGCGUGCAGGAAGACGGCCCUAUGGGUUGUAAACUGCUUUUAUACGGGAUUAAUCGCCCUGACGAGUCGGGGUUUGUAAGUACCGUAGGAAUAAGCAUCGGCUAACUCCGUGCCAGCAGCCGCGGUAAUACGGAGGAUGCAAGCGUUAUCCGGAUUCAUUGGGUUUAAAGGGUGCGCAGGCGGAAUGAUAAGUCAGGGGUGAAAUCCCACAGCUCAACUGUGGAACUGCCUUUGAUACUGUCAAUCUAGAGUGUAGUUGAAGUUGGCGGAAUGUGUCAUGUAGCGGUGAAAUGCUUAGAUAUGACACAGAACACCGAUCGCGAAGGCAGCUAGCUAAACUAUAACUGACGCUCAUGCACGAAAGCGUGGGGAUCAAACAGGAUUAGAUACCCUGGUAGUCCACGCUGUAAACGAUGAUUACUCGAUGUUGGCGAUACACAGUCAGCGUCUGAGCGAAAGCAAUAAGUAAUCCACCUGGGGAGUACGAUCGCAAGAUUGAAACUCAAAGGAAUUGACGGGGGCCCGCACAAGCGGAGGAGCAUGUGGUUUAAUUCGAUGAUACGCGAGGAACCUUACCUGGGCUCGAACGUAAGAUGACUGUAGGAGAAAUCUUACAUCCCUUCGGGGCAUUUUACGAGGUGCUGCAUGGUUGUCGUCAGCUCGUGCCGUGAGGUGUCGGGUUAAGUCCCAUAACGAGCGCAACCCCUAUCGGUAGUUACCAGCACGUAAUGGUGGGGACUCUGCCGAGACUGCCGGUGUAAACCGUGAGGAAGGUGGGGAUGACGUCAAAUCAGCACGGCCCUUACGUCCAGGGCUACACACGUGCUACAAUGGCCGGUACAGAGGGCAGCUACCUGGUGACAGGAUGCAAAUCUCCAAAGCCGGUCUCAGUUCGGAUCGGAGUCUGCAACUCGACUCCGUGAAGUUGGAUUCGCUAGUAAUCGCGCAUCAGCCAUGGCGCGGUGAAUACGUUCCCGGGCCUUGUACACACCGCCCGUCAAGCCAUGGAAGCUGGGGGGACCUAAAGUCGAUAACCGCAAGGAGUCGCCUAGGGUAAAACCAGUAACUGGGGCUAAGUCGUAACAAGGUAGCCGUACCGGAAGGUGUGGCUG